GCAAGCAUAUGAUAUGUUCUGAAUACUUAUGGGCAACACCCUUGGAGCUGUGGGAUAUUUCUGGGACCUAAAAGCCAUGAAGAUAUCUGCCUAGAAAAGUGGUGGGCACCAGUCAAGAAUUCAACCUAAGUGAGCCUUCACCUUUGGGCUGCUCUCAUAAUUAACCGGUCCUCUUCAGGCAUCAUCCCUAAGAGCUGCUUUGGGGGCUCUAUGACUCAUGACAAAUCUGACCUCAUUUGUGUGCCUUGUUUUUUUAUUACCCAGUUUCAGCCAGAAGAUGUCUAUAAUCUAUGAGGUCUAUGGAAUGGGAGAAAAAUUUCCAUGUUUUGUACCUGGACCACUAGGCUUUCUUGUUCUUUCUCAGCAAUUGGGCAUCAUAGUCAACAUCCCAUUUGAAGACUCACUGAAUCAAAAUUGAGAUCACAUUUCCAGGACUAAGUCUUUUCUUAUUAGAGAAAGAAGAGCCUAAAGAAUGUGCAGUCCAGAAAGGGCAUAUACAGCUAGAGCCCCAGUCUUUUCUCUGCCCAUACAUAGCUAGAUAAUUCACUUUGCCUUUCUGCCUAUGGAGAGGUAGACAUCUCAGCUGUACUCAAGAAUGCAGUAUGUCAGAUCCCUGAAGGCUUAACUGGAGAUUUGUGAUAUUAAAUUCUCAUAAACUGCUAAGAAACUGCCUUACAAGAAAAGAUACAUUCAUAUUGUGAGUUUCUGAACACAUAAAGGGUUUGGCUUUAUAAAAGAGGAGGUAGACAGAGUCUUCCUUUUUCUUUGUUGCCUUCUGUUGCCCCAACAAGUGUCCAGGGUUCUUCUUUUCAGGAUCCUCCUCCUCCUGUGGUAUCAGUCAACCUCUAGUUUAGACAAAAGCAGCUCAUGUGGCCCAACCUCUUCUUCCUCAUUUCUUUGGUCACUCUUCAUUCUCUGGUAGCUUAUGAGGUAUGUGUGGUAUCCUGGCCUGAAGACAACAUGGAAACUCCUGCAAAGAAAAACAUUCAAUUACAGUGGUUUACAGUUCAGGGGUUCAAUCCAUUAUCAUCAUGGUGGGACAUGGGGACAUGCAGGCAGACAUGAUACAGAAGAGGUAGCUGAGAGAUCUACAUCUUGCACAAGCAACAGAAAGUGAACUCAGACACUAGGUGUCUUGAGCAUAGGUGACUCAAGGCCUAGCCCCACAAUGACACACUUCCUCCAACAAGGCCUCAUCUAUUCCAACAACACUACAUAUUCUAAUAGUGUCAUUCCCUUUGUGGGGGCACUUUAUUUCAAACCACAUUCUGAUCCCUAACCCCCAAAGCCUAUAGACAUAUCAUAAUGGAAAAAUGCAUUCAGUUCAACUUCAAAAGUCCCCAUAGUCUAUAGCAGUCUCACACUUAUUUAAAAGUUUAAGUUCAAAAUCUCUUCUGAGAUUCAUACAAUCACAUAACUAUAAUCCCCAGUAAAAUCAAAAUAAAAAUGAAAAUAAAAUAUUUCCAACAUAUAAUGGUACAGGUUAUAUAUCACCAUUCUAAAAUAGAGGGAAGGGAACAUAGUGAGGAAAUACUGGACCAAAACAAGACUGAAUACCAGCUGGGAAAUCUCCAAACUCUGCACUCUAUGUCUGAUGUGAAAACACUCCAGAUCUCCAACUCAUUUCAUCUUUGUUGACCAUAAAAUACUUCUUUCCCUUAGGCUUGUUCACUAACUUUCUGUCUUCACCAGAUUUCUGUUUUUGGAUGAUUUCCCUCACUGCCAAAGCUUGGCUAUUCUGGAACUUUCUCUGUAGUCUAUGAUGACCUCAAACUCAGAGAUCCAUCAGCUAGGCCUUGCCAGUUCUAGAAUUAAAGCUGUGCAGCACCACAACUGGCUCUAAGCUUUUCUUUAAUUCCUUUUCACAAGUUGGAAACUUUUAGCUGAGUCAGAUCUUGAUCUAGGGUCACCACUCUCUUCAUUCCAUUUCUUAAUCUGUUUAUUUCCUUGAAUAUUGGUCUUAGCUCCAUUCCACUUUCUGGAGCUCCUUUUCUCCUCAAACAUUUUUCCUUACUCAGUUUGCUUCUUUUCAUUAUAUAAUCUUCAUUAGAGUUAACAUUAGUAACCACACAACUGAGUCUGUUUUGAGAUUUCUUCUGCCAAGGGAAUUAAUCCAAAAUUCUUCACUUCAGUCUUAGGCAAACAUUUUGCACAAGGGCAAAAACUAGCCACAUUUGUUACCAAACUAUCACAAGAAUGAUCUCUAGGUCACAUAUUAAUAUUUUUCUCCUCUGAAACCUCUUGAUAGAGGGAACCACAAUUCAAAUCACACUUAGCAUCACUGUUUUCCAUGCUCCUACUAGAAUGGCCAAAUUAAUCAACACUUAAAGUGUUCAACUGCUUUUCUUUUCCACAGUCCCAAGGUCCAUAUUCCUUCAAACAAAAGCUUGGUCACGCCUAUCACACACCAAGUAUACUCCUGGUAUCAACUUCUAUCUUGGGGUUUCUAUUGCUGCAAAGAGACACAAGGACCAUGGCAACUCUUACAAAGAAAAUCAUUUCAUUGCAGUCCAUUAUCAUCAUGGUGGGACAUGGUAAGCAGAUAUGGUGUUGGAGAGGUAGCAGGUAACAAGAAGUGAGUUCAGAAACUUAGUGUGGCUUGAGCAUAUAUGAAAUCUCACAGCCCACCUCCACAGUGAUACAUUUCCUUCAACCAGACCACACACACUCCAACAAAGCCACAACUCCUAAUAGUGCCACUGCCUUUAGGGGUCAAUUUUCUUUCAAACCAUUAUAAACCCCAAAACCUUAAUUCCUCCAGGUCUCUUCUUUGACAAUAUUAGAGAUAACACAAAAUUAACCUGGUGCUGUUCCUAAGUAUAUCUGAAUGCAGAAGGUUCCUGUCUAUGGCACUUAGGACCUUGAAAAAUACAUUCAUUGUCCCUCUGUCAUGCUAAAGGGAAAGACCUCAUAUGCCUUGGGAUAAAAUUACAGGGAAAUUUGAAGUUUGUUUUAUUUUAUUGGUCAUCAUUUGCUUCAUCUCCAUAGGGAAGGCUACUCUGCUCUAUCCCUGGUGUUAUAUCAGUGAGGCAGAAAUUUGAGGACUUCAGAUUCUUGACUGGCCUUAGAAAGCAGUUGUUGUGAUAUUGGCAUUUCCCAUAAUGUUGCCUGUGACCUGAGCUGUCCAUUUUCCAGGUGCAUCCUUGGCUCUGCUACUUCCUGCCCAGAAGCCUCUGGGUUGUUUUCUUAGUCCCUUAACUUUCCUUUCCCUUUCUUUCAACUAAGAAGAGUACUGCUCUGAAUCCUAGGGGCACUAGAAGAUGUAAGUAGAUAAUGCUUAGCUGUCAUAUCUAAUUGUCUCCUUUCUUCCCUUCUUACUCAUUGUCUUUUUAUAUGCUCUCAAUGCUUUUUUCAAGGCUUGUCAUUUAGUCCUCAAAUUCUUAAUGGGAGAGACUUCCCCUUUCUAUAUUCUUUGCCUCCAUCAAACUUUCUGAUUUUUUCUAUUGAUAGUUUUGUUUUGCCUUCUCUCUCUCUCUCUCUUUUUUUUUUGAAAGAGUUGCUUGUUCAGAUUGGCCUUGGAUUCACUGUGUAACAAACCAAAUGCUGACCUUGAACUUCUGACCCUCAUACCUUACUUUUCAAGUGCUGGGAUUACAGGUUUGUGCCACCACAUCUUGUUUGAUCUUACUCAGUAUUUCUCAGGUCUGUGAGUUCCUAAUUAAAUAUGAAGGUUAAGAAUCAAAACUUUGAUGGCUAGUGUUGGUAGUCAUCUUGGCAAUAGUUGGCAUUAACUAAAACUCAAGCAGUUAAGUACACUUGUGAGGAAUUCUCUUGACUGGAUCAUCUGGGGUGAGAAGACAAACCCUAGAUCUGGGCCACACUUUGUGGGCCACAUUAAAGAACAUGGAAAAAGGAACUGUUUGAUUUUUGCCUGCUUACCCUCAUUUUCAAUGACAAGUCCAUCUCUCUUGUUGCCCAGCCAUUUCUUUCUAGAUGUUAGAACCACUUCUUUGGGAUUCUAGAUAGACUGAAGCCCAGCAGCUCUCUUGGAAUCCUGUGGGUCUUGACCUUUCCAUAUGGAGACAGGCAUUGUUGGACACAGCACAUCAAUGCCACACAUGAUCCGGACUGACCUCCAACUUAUUAUCUAGUCAACGAUGAUCUUCAUGCCUUCAUCUACCACCAGCAGAAGCAAGUGGAAUGUGUCCCUGGACUUGAAACUGGCAGCAGAGCAAUGGACAGACCCCUGGGCUCCCUUAAUGGCUUUCCAUCUGUAUACUGAAGCUUGAUGUGACAUCAUCUCCUCAACCCUCAAUGCUUACAGAUACUCCCUCCUACCUACAUGAUUUUUAAAAACAGCCUGGAUGGAUUCUUGCUCAUCAGCUCUCCUUCUCAACUUCCAG
rnacentral:lncRNA from 1 species